GGGCCAAUUUGCACCACAGGCCACAGCUGGCUGUAAAUUCAGUGAAGGCCUCAGCCUACUCCCGCUCUCCUCAGUAUAUGCGGGCUGCUCUGAACUUGGAAGUAAGAGAGGGAGUUCUGUACCUCAGCCUCUACGCAAAUCUGCUGUUCAUCUGUCCUGCUUCUGGUUAUUCUGAAGUUAUUAAAACUGAACUUUGGGAGAUUUAAGUAGCAGAAAUAGAGACGAGGUAUCUUAAUUUGCUGUUUUCCUUGUGGAGAUUCACUUAGUCCUGUAGCUUGCGAAGUUAAAGCCACUGCUUCUAAUGGUCUCAAACAGCGGGCCUUUCUCCAACCUGCCAGGUCUGAGAAGAUAUAGCAGAUGCUUAUUUUUCUUCUGUUAUUUUCAGCUUUUUUUUUCUUCCCUCUUCUGUAUUGGAGGUGGAGGCCAGGUUACAUUUUUGUCCUCUCAGAUAAAUGGGCAGUAUGUUGUUUAAACGUAAGGAACCUUUACUGCUUUCUCUUUCCUGAGUACUGCAGAGGAAGGAGGAUGCUUAGAAAGGCCAUAUCCCACAGGAACGUGUUUGGGGCUGAUGGAGGCAGGCAGGCAGGCUGCAGGCACAUCUGUAGGGAUUUAUGGUGAUCAGUUUUUCAAGCAUUAGGAAAGCCUGAGAGCACAUUAUUUUUAAAUGAGUUAUAUAUUUAGCGCUAUGCCCGCCAUUCUUUCAGUUCUAAUUUUAGAGGGCAGGGGACAACUCUGGCACUAUUGUAGCCUUGUCUAAAUUUAAUAUAGUUGAGCAGCUGAUGAUUAUCAGAGAGAUUGCCUUUUUGCUCCUUCAGGAAUUUUUCACUUAGGAAAAAAAGUCACUGUACUACUCUGCUUGGGGUAUUGUACUAGCUGUUGUAUACAAGAAAGAAAAGUGUGCUCUAAAACAGCCUUUUUUGCCCUACCUCUUAAUCCAGUGAAGGUUUUCAGAUACAGAACAGGAGAAGUGUGGUUGGUGUGAACACUAUUUUUCUGUUGAAAGAGUAAUAACUUAAUGCUGACGUUUGGCAUACACCAAUAUGCUGGUACUGCUCCACCUCCAUGACAGUGCUGAGGAUCUUCCAGUCCACGCGGUGCCUUGCAGAAGCUGUGAGGAAUGUUGUUUUCCCUCUGCUUGUCUGAAGCCAAGGCACCAGUAUGCCACCCUGAGUCAUGGCAUGAAGACCAGAAGAGGAGCCAUUCUAACUCUUCAGUCCUGUUUCCUACAAGACAAAGCCCCAGACCAGCCCCCAGGUUACAGCCAUGGGAGAAAAUCGUUCAAGUCCCGGCUAUUUGUGUGUGAUCAGUAAAUAUUUAGUGUGGCGACAUCUUCAGCUCCUCUCCUGAUCAAUACGCAACCCAACAGGAGGUGGACUAUUGUCCGGGCAGUGACUCGCUGAGAUCUCCUUCAGAUGCAUUCCUUGCCCCCAUACCGUCUGUUAUGAUUUAUCCUCGAAGGUAACGAGCAAAGAGAGAAAUUAAGGCUGUAAAAGCUUCUGUCUCUAACCUGUUUACCGUGGUGUUAAGGCACCUAAGCGAAGAAUGCCUUAUUCAUCCCCAUCUCCCAUCUCUACAUGAUGGUCUGGCACUUCCAAAACGCUGCUAGAAAAUGAAUGGGAAGGCAGGCAGCCGUCGCACGGGCGCUUCGCAUCCCUGCAUCCUUCUGUCCCCUCUCCCCCCGGCCCCUGGAGUGACAGCGGUGUCACAUCAGGGCGAGACCCGCUCCCACCC